UGGGGAAUAUUGGACAAUGGGGGCAACCCUGAUCCAGCCAUGCCGCGUGUGUGAAGAAGCCUUUUGGUUGUAAAGCACUUUAAGCAGGGAGGAGAGGCUAAUGGUUAAUACCCAUCAGAUUAGACGUUACCUGCAGAAUAAGCACCGGCUAACUCUGUGCCAGCAGCCGCGGUAAUACAGAGGGUGCGAGCGUUAAUCGGAAUUACUGGGCGUAAAGCGAGUGUAGGUGGCUCAUUAAGUCAUAUGUGAAAUCCCCGGGCUUAACCUGGGAACUGCAUGUGAUACUGGUGGUGCUAGAAUAUGUGAGAGGGAAGUAGAAUUCCAGGUGUAGCGGUGAAAUGCGUAGAGAUCUGGAGGAAUACCGAUGGCGAAGGCAGCUUCCUGGCAUAAUAUUGACACUGAGAUUCGAAAGCGUGGGUAGCAAACAGGAUUAGAUACCCUGGUAGUCCACGCCGUAAACGAUGUCUACUAGCCGUUGGGGUCCUUGAGACUUUAGUGGCGCAGUUAACGCGAUAAGUAGACCGCCUGGGGAGU
rnacentral:rRNA from 1 species